rnacentral:rRNA from 1 species
GACAGAGGUGCCGAGCGUUAGGCGGAAUCACUGGGCUUAAAGCGUGUGUAGGCGGACUUGUAAGUACCUUGUGAAAUCCCACAGCUCAACUGUGGAACUGCUUGGUAUACUGCUUGUCUUGAGCCACUUAGGGGCAGUCGGAACAGACGGUGGAGCGGUGAAAUGCGUAGAUAUUGUGAGGAACACUAGUGGCGAAGGCGAGACUCUGGACAGUUCCUGACGCUGAGGCACGAAGGCCAGGGGAGCAAACGGG